UACAGAGGUCCCAAGCGUUGUUCGGAUUUACUGGGCGUAAAGGGCGCGUAGGCGGUCAGCACAAGUCAGUUGUGAAAUCUCCGGGCUUAACUCGGAAAGGUCAACUGAUACUGUGCGACUAGAGUGCGGAAGGGGCAACUGGAAUUCUCGGUGUAGCGGUGAAAUGCGUAGAUAUCGAGAGGAACACCUGCGGCGAAGGCGGGUUGCUGGGCCGACACUGACGCUGAGGAGCGAAAAGCGUGGGGGAGCGAAACAGG
rnacentral:rRNA from 1 species